rnacentral:rRNA from 1 species
GACGAACGCUGGCGGCGUGCUUAACACAUGCAAGUCGAACGGAAAGGCCCUGCUUUUGUGGGGUGCUCGAGUGGCGAACGGGUGAGUAACACGCGAGUAACCUGCCCUUGACUUUGGGAUAACUUCAGGAAACUGGGGCUAAUACCGGAUAGGAGCUCCUGCUGCAUGGUGGGGGUUGGAAAGUUUCGGCGGUUGGGGAUGGACUCGCGGCUUAUCAGCUUGUUGGGGGAGUAGUGGCUUACCAAGGCUUUGACGGGUAGCCGGCCUGAGAGGGUGGCCGGCCACAUUGGGACUGAGAGACGGCCCAGACUCCUACGGGAGGCAGCAGUGGGGAAUAUUGCACAAUGGGCGGAAGCCUGAUGCAGCAACCCCGCGUGCGGGAUGACGGCCUUCGGGGUGUAAACCGCUUUCGCCUGUGACGAAGCGUGAGUGACGGUAAUGGGUAAAGAAGCACCGGCUAACUACGUG